rnacentral:rRNA from 1 species
UACAGAGGGUGCGAGCGUUAAUCGGAAUUACUGGGCGUAAAGCGUGCGUAGACGGUUAUUUAAGUCGGGUGUGAAAGCCCCGGGCUCAACCUGGGAAUUGCAUUCGAGACUGAAUAGCUAGGGUACGGUAGAGGGAAGCGGAAUUUCCGGUGUAGCGGUGAAAUGCGUAGAUAUCGGGAGGAACACCAGUGGCGAAGGCGAACUUCCUGGCCUGGUUCUUGACGCUGAGGCGCGAAAGCUAGGGGAGCAAACGGGG